CUGGCAACCUGACCUCCCAGGGUACAGCUGAGCAGGAUAAAAGGAAGCAAGUUUCUAACAGCGCUGGUCAAAAUAUUUUUGAUAGAACAAAUAUUGCAAAUAAUUUCACAUACCAAAAAUAAUCGCUGAUUUUUCCUGAAAAUUUUUCAAAGUUCUCCCUUUAAUGCAAGGUCUAUCGUUCUUCAAUGUGUUUUUUCUGUAAAGCAAGAGGAAGGCUGGUAAAGGGUGUGACAGUAGGCUUGGCACACCAAGCCCUAGAAACAGUAUGCUCAGGAGGAAGUUCCGAUUAAGAACACUGAAAAGACCAAACAAAACAGAGCACUCCACCUUGAAAGUAACGGAAGGAUCACUUAAGCUGGAGCACCCUGAAUUGGAAAAUGUGAACUGGUGAUAACCAAAUCUACCUGCCUCAGAGAGGGCUGUGAGGAUUUAGUGGCUAUUCUUUAGGCAGCCCUCGAAUAUAGAAGACCAGAUCCUCCUUGAGGGGAAACUGUGGCAAAAAAGACUGACUUGCACAAGGUCUUGCACAGGAGAAGUCUGUGGUGGGGAAGGAAAUUGAAUCCAGGACUCCACAGGCUAGCAUCCUAUUCACUGAAAAUUAUUAUUCUGUCCGUUCAAUGCAUCAUCUCGGGAUCUGGCCGAUGAAGCACCAGGAAUUAUGAUGGUCAUUAUUACUAUCUCACUAUUGAAGUUUGUCAAGAAGAUGGCAUUGAAUCUCAGGUCCCAGAUAGGAGGCCUGGGGAGAAGGCAUUAUUUUGUGAGUGAUAAUCCCUUACAAGCUUUUUUCUCUACCCUCUUGCUUUUUUCCCUUACUCCUCAUUAGCUGCAUUAGGCAUCCUAAUCCCCAUUAUGGAAAUGAGGUGAUGAGCUAGGUGACACACCCCCUAAGCAGCAUUUUCUCUGGAGAUUUUAAAAAGGGGGAUGACACAAACUUAAAAUCCAUUGCCAGCCAAUCAGGGUAAAAACAUGA